rnacentral:sRNA from 1 species
GUCAAACGAGGUACAGUUCUGUUUAUGUGUGGCAUUUUCAGUAAAGAAGUCCUGAGUAAACACGUUGUCGUUGAAUACCGCUUCUCUGCCGAACCUUAUUUUAGUGCCUCAUGCAGUAAUGUCUCAGUUUUAUCUCAGUAAUGCCUGCGGGCGAUGAAAAUACUCUUAAGGAAUUUGCAAAAUGGCAAAGAUUAAAGGUCAAGUUAAGUGGUUCAACGAGUCUAAAGGUUUUGGUUUCAUUACCCCGGCAGACGGCAGCAAAGAUGUAUUCGUACAUUUCUCUGCAAUCCAGGGUAACGGCUUCAAAACCCUGGCUGAAGGUCAGAACGUUGAGUUCGAAAUUCAGGACGGCCAGAAAGGUCCGGCAGCAGUUAACGUAACUGCUAUCUGAUCGCAUAAGCGCUGACCUUGUGUUGCCUGGCGCGCACAAGUCAGAGUCUAAAGCCUCGCUUUUGCGGGGCUUUUGUUU